AUAUAAACGCCCUGGGGAUCUUGUUACAAUGCAGAUUCUGGGGUUGCGCCGGGAUUCUGCACAUCUGACAAGUACCCAAUUGAUGUCAAUGCU
rnacentral:pre_miRNA from 1 species